rfam:Schistosoma margrebowiei strain Zambia genome assembly, scaffold: SMRZ_contig0000055
AUCCAGCUGACGAGUCCCAAAUAGGACGAAACACGCGUCAAACUGGAU